rnacentral:rRNA from 1 species
GCGAUGGCUGGGCGAAGCCUGACAGCCUUCCGCGUGAGUGAAGAAGGCCUUCGGGUUGUAAAGCUCUUUCGCAAGGGAAGAAAACUUAGGCGCUAAUAUCGCUUGAGGUUGACGGUACCUUGAUAAGAAGCACCGGCUAACUACGUGCCAGCAGCCGCGGUAAUACGUAGGGUGCGAGCGUUAAUCGGAAUUACUGGGCGUAAAGCGUGCGCAGGCGGUUUUGUAAGUCAGAUGUGAAAUCCCCGAGCUCAACUUGGGAACUGCGUUUGAAACUAUAAGACUAGAAUAUGUCAGAGGGGUGUAGAAUUCCGCGUGUAGCAGUGAAAUGCGUGGGGAUGUGGAGGAAUACCAAUGGCGAAGGCAGCCCCCUGGGAUAAUAUUGACGCUCAUGCACGAAAG